UACGGAGGAUCCAAGCGUUAUCCGGAAUCAUUGGGUUUAAAGGGUCCGUAGGCGGUUUUGUAAGUCAGUGGUGAAAGCCCAUCGCUCAACGGUGGAACGGCCAUUGAUACUGCAAGACUUGAAUUACUAGGAAGUAACUAGAAUAUGUAGUGUAGCGGUGAAAUGCUUAGAGAUUACAUGGAAUACCAAUUGCGAAGGCAGGUUACUACUAAUGGAUUGACGCUGAUGGACGAAAGCGUGGGUAGCGAACAGG
rnacentral:rRNA from 1 species